rnacentral:rRNA from 1 species
AUGGGCGAAAGCCUGACGGAGCGACACCGCGUGGAGGACGAAAUUUUUCGGAAUGUAAACUCCUUUUGGCAGGAAUGAAACAAAUGACAGUACCUGCAGAAUAAGCAUCGGCUAACUACGUGCCAGCAGCCGCGGUAAU